GAUGAACGCUGGCGGCGUGCCUAAUACAUGCAAGUCGAGCGAACGGACGAGAAGCUUGCUUCUCUGAUGUUAGCGGCGGACGGGUGAGUAACACGUGGAUAACCUACCUAUAAGACUGGGAUAACUUCGGGAAACCGUAGCUAAUACCGGAUAAUAUUUUGAACCGCAUGGUUCAAAAGUGAAAGACGGUCUUGCUGUCACUUAUAGAUGGAUCCGCGCUGCAUUAGCUAGUUGGUAAGGUAACGGCUUACCAAGGCAACGAUGCAUAGCCGACCUGAGAGGGUGAUCAGCCACACUGGAACUGAGACACGGUCCAGACUCCUACGGGAGGCAGCAGUAGGGAAUCUUCCGCAAUGGGCGAAAGCCUGACGGAGCAACGCCGCGUGAGUGAUGAAGGUCUUCGGAUCGUAAAACUCUGUUAUUAGGGAAGAACAUAUGUGUAAGUAACUGUGCACAUCUUGACGGUACCUAAUCAGAAAGCCCCGGCUAACUACGUG
rnacentral:rRNA from 1 species